UAAUUUUUUAAGAGGACAAACACAAGUACUUUCAUUGAGGCAUUAGUCAAGUAGGUAGGCAGAAAAGAAAUUAAAAAUAUAAUUUGAAGGGGUAGAGAGAAUCUAAAAGUGAUGCCGCCACUCCAUUCCAAAAACCAUAAAGGAAAACAAGAAAAUCGAGCCCCUUAGCAAGGUGAGACAUGAAAUGUGCACAAAUGCAGGAGGUAAGAGGCGUGCCAUUCCUUUAAUAAAACACUUGGCUAGUGACAAGUCUCAUCUACAGACAAAAAUGCUGGUGAAGAUUCAAGAAGAUGGAGGAGACACACAAGAUCUUGGAUCCGACACUGCUGCAGAUUUGCAGAGAGCUAAGGAUAUUUUAAGUAGUGGAGGAAUUCAGGGAGAGAAAAAAACGUGGCAAGAAAAUAGAGUCCAUGGAGCUUGGCUGCAAGGAAUGUGAGAAGACACAUGGAAGAGAAGGUCCAUAGCUAUAAUAUUGAAAUUGAAAAGAGAAGUAAACCCAACAAUCCGACAAGAGAUGGAGUCCUCUGAUCUGGGUCUGCCUUGCUCAGGCCCUGUUAAUCCUGCAGGGGUCCUUGUAUCCCGCCACCAUAUUUUGUAUCUCAGCAUAGAAUACAAAAUAGGCCACCCGUCUGUGCUUGGCCAUCACUCUUCUUCACCACUAUAUAUUUUUUUUUUCUUGCUUGCUUUGUUGUUUAUGCACACUACCUGACAUAAAUGGUUGAAUUGCUUUUUCUUUC
rnacentral:lncRNA from 1 species